rnacentral:rRNA from 1 species
UACGUAGGGGGCUAGCGUUGUCCGGAUUUAUUGGGCGUAAAGGGCUCGUAGGCGGUCUGUUGCGUCGGGAGUGAAAACUCAGGGCUUAACCCUGAGCCUGCUUCCGAUACGGGCAGACUAGAGGUAUGCAGGGGAGAACGGAAUUCCGUGGUGUAGCGGUGAAAUGCGCAGAUAUCAGGAGGAACACCGGUGGCGAAGGCGGUUCUCUGGGAAUGUCCUGACGCUGAGGAGCGAAAGCAUGGGGAGCGAACAGG